rnacentral:rRNA from 1 species
AUGAACGCUGGCGGCGUGCCUAAUACAUGCAAGUCGAGCGAACAGACGAGGAGCUUGCUCCUCUGACGUUAGCGGCGGACGGGUGAGUAACACGUGGAUAACCUACCUAUAAGACUGGGAUAACUUCGGGAAACCGGAGCUAAUACCGGAUAAUAUAUUGCACCGCAUGGUUCAAUAGUGAAAGACGGUUUUGCUGUCACUUAUAGAUGGAUCCGCGCCGCAUUAGCUAGUUGGUAAGGUAACGGCUUACCAAGGCAACGAUGCGUAGCCGACCUGAGAGGGUGAUCGGCCACACUGGAACUGAGACACGGUCCAGACUCCUACGGGAGGCAGCAGUAGGGAAUCUGCCGCAAUGGGCGAAAGCUUGACGGAGCAACGCCGCGUGAGUGAUGAAGGUCUUCGGAUCGUAAAACUCUGUUAUUAGGGAAGAACAAAUGUGUAAGUAACGAUGCACGUCUUGACGGUACCUAAUCAGAAAGCCACGGCUAACUACGU